AACGAACGCUGGCGGCAUGCCUAACACAUGCAAGUCGAACGAGACCUUCGGGUCUAGUGGCGCACGGGUGCGUAACGCGUGGGAACCUGCCCUUAGGUUCGGAAUAACUCCCCGAAAGGGGUGCUAAUACCGGAUAAGGUCUUCGGACCAAAGAUUUAUCGCCUUUGGAUGGGCCCGCGUUGGAUUAGCUAGUUGGUAGGGUAAAAGCCUACCAAGGCGACGAUCCAUAGCUGGUCUGAGAGGAUGAUCAGCCACACUGGGACUGAGACACGGCCCAGACUCCUACGGGAGGCAGCAGUGGGGAAUAUUGGACAAUGGGCGAAAGCCUGAUCCAGCCAUGCCGCGUGAGUGAUGAAGGCCUUAGGGUUGUAAAGCUCUUUUACCCGGGAUGAUAAUGACAGUACCGGGAGAAUAAGCCCCGGCUAACUCCGUG
rnacentral:rRNA from 1 species